UAACCGUAGAACAAACUUUGUCGUGUAAAUAUGUAUAAGACAGAAAAAAUACAUUUAUAAUAGUUGUUUUUCUCUUUGUGCCAGAUGAAGACUCCCCCGGACAGGUCAGGAAUCACCUUUGAGGUUGGAGCUCAGCUAGAAGCCCGAGACCGCCACAAGAACUGACUCCUACAAAGUGUGCUUCUACGACGGCGUGGUUCUGACUGUGAAGCCCACUAAGGUCAAACCCUUCCAGGAAAAGUCCAGAUCUGAGAAGAGUGCGGUGGGAAGCGAGGGA